ensembl:snRNA U1 U1 spliceosomal RNA
AGACUUACCUGGCAGGGGUGAUACCAUAAUCACGAAGGUGGUUUCCCAUUAUGAGGCUUAUCCAUUGCACUCCAGAUGUGCUGACUCCUGCAAUUUCCCCAAAUUGGAGAACUUGACUGUAUAAUUUGUGGUAGUGGGAGACUGUGUUCAUGCUUCCCAC